GACGAACGCUGGCGGCGUGCUUAACACAUGCAAGUCGAACGGAAAGGCCCUGCUUUUGUGGGGUGCUCGAGUGGCGAACGGGUGAGUAACACGUGAGUAACCUGCCCUUGACUUUGGGAUAACUUCAGGAAACUGGGGCUAAUACCGGAUAGGAGCUCCUGCUGCAUGGUGGUGGUUGGAAAGUUUCGGCGGUUGGGGAUGGACUCGCGGCUUAUCAGCUGGUUGGUGGGGUAGUGGCUUACCAAGGCUUUGACGGGUAGCCGGCCUGAGAGGGUGACCGGCCACAUUGGGACUGAGAUACGGACCAGACUCCUACGGGAGGCAGCAGUGGGGAAUAUUGCACAAUGGGCGGAAGCCUGAUGCAGCAACGCCGCGUGCGGGAUGACGGCCUUCGGGUUGUAAACCGCUUUCGCCUGUGACGAAGCGUGAGUGACGGUAAUGGGUAAAGAAGCACCGGCUAACUACGUG
rnacentral:rRNA from 1 species